rnacentral:sRNA from 1 species
UGUCCUCAUCCAACCCAGCUUCCUGCAUAACCUCCCCACCACCGGCUGCCCUAGGUCUGUCUGUGUGCCUCCCACACACAGGAAACUCACCUGUCAGGCUGCCAGCUCUGUGUUUUGCAUUGAGUGGCCUUCCAUACCCACCCGCCCCCAUAAACCACCCUGGAUUUCAGCUUCCGGAUUGCUGAAGGUCUGGGUGUUAGGGUGAGGGAGGCUCUUCCUCUUCGCCCUCCACAUGAGCUGAGCGCCCUAGGUGUUUCACAGGGGCUGGCUGUGGGCAAUGGACUCUCCUCCUAUGAGCAGAAUGACAACUCCCUGGUCUACUUUGCCUACUACCAUGGCCUUCUGGGGAACAGGCUUUGGUCUUCUCUCCAGACCCACUGCUGCUCUCAAAACAAGUGUAACUUCUAUGACAACAAAGACCCGGAAUGCGUGACAAAUCUUCAGGAAGUGGCCCGCAUCGUGGGCAACUCUGGCCUCAACAUCUACAAUCUCUAUGCCCCGUGUGCUGGAGGGGUGCCCAGCCAUUUUAGGUAGGUGCUGCUGGGUGCCCCUGGGGCCAACCCCAGCCCCAUCUGGAGGCUCCACACCCAUCCCCCCACCUCACAUGCAGGUAUGAGAAGGACACUGUUGUGGUCCAGGAUUUGGGCAACAUCUUCACUCGCCUGCCACUCAAGCGGACGUGGCAUCAGGCACUGCUGCGCUCAGGGGAUAAAGUACGCAUGGACCCCCCCUGCACCAACACAACAGCUGCUUCCACCUACCUCAACAACCCGUACGUGCGGAAGGCCCUCAACAUCCCAGAGCAGCUGCCGCAAUGGGACAUGUGCAACUUUCUGGUAAACUUACAGUACCGCCGUCUCUACCGAAGCAUGAACUCCCAGUAUCUGAAGCUGCUUAGCUCACAGAAAUACCAGAUCCUGUUAUAUAAUGGAGAUGUAGACAUGGCCUGCAAUUUCAUGGGGGAUGAGUGGUUUGUGGAUUCC